AGAGUUUGAUUAUGGCUCAGGAUGAACGCUGGCGGCGUGCCUAACACAUGCAAGUCGAACGGAACUUCUAUUGAUUGAGACUUCGGUCAAAUGAUAUUAAGUUAGUGGCGGACGGGUGAGUAACGCGUGAGCAACCUGCCUUUCAGAGGGGGAUAACGUUUGGAAACGAACGCUAAUACCGCAUAACAUGGAGAUAUCGCAUGAUAAUUCCAUCAAAGAUUUUAUCGCUGAGAGAUGGGCUCGCGUCCGAUUAGGUAGUUGGUGAGGUAACGGCCCACCAAGCCGACGAUCGGUAGCCGGACUGAGAGGUUGAACGGCCACAUUGGGACUGAGACACGGCCCAGACUCCUACGGGAGGCAGCAGUGGGGAAUAUUGCACAAUGGGCGCAAGCCUGAUGCAGCAACGCCGCGUGAGGGAAGACGGUUUUCGGAUUGUAAACCUCUGUCAUUAGUGACGAAGAAGUGACGGUAGCUAAUGAGGAAGCCACGGCUAACUACGUGCCAGCCGCCGC
rnacentral:rRNA from 1 species